CUUUCUGAGAUCUGCUUUUAGUGAAGUGGAUCAAUGAUGAAACUAGCCAAAUCUGAGCAUCAGAAGUCUUUCCAGUCUACCUGAUGCAUGAUCUCUACAGUUCUGAGAAGCAAAACUAUAAAACAAUGUAAAACAAUAAGGGCAUAUGUCUGGUGUGUGUGUGUGUGUGUGUGUGUGUGUGUGUGUGUACGCACAUGUGUUUAUAAAGAUAACAGCUGUAGGAAUGAAUGAGAUUGAGGGUGGGGGGGUGCGUAUGUAUGUCUAUGAAAGCCUAAUC
rnacentral:lncRNA from 1 species